rnacentral:rRNA from 1 species
UACGUAGGGUCCGAGCGUUGUCCGGAAUUAUUGGGCGUAAAGGGCUCGUAGGCGGUUUGUCGCGUCGGGAGUGAAAACUCGGAGCUCAACUCCGAGCCUGCUUCCGAUACGGGCAGACUAGAGGUAGGCAGGGGAGAGCGGAACUCCUGGUGUAGCGGUGAAAUGCGCAGAUAUCAGGAAGAACACCCGUGGCGAAGGCGGCUCUCUGGGACGGUACUGACGCUGAGACGCGAAGGCGUGGGGAGCGAACAGG